GUCAGGCGUCAGUGAGUGAGACUGGGUGACCAAAGUGAGCAGGAGCAGCUUACACCUCUCACUAUAUGGUAUAUCAUCACCCUGGCACACAUUCACGUAGAGACACCGUAUAAUCGAGAAAUUCCACACGAGAGAUUAUCAUCCAUGACUAAACCACUACGUAUAAUUAAGGUGUGCGGCGAGUACGUGAUGAGUUUGUGGCGAGUACUGGCGAGUAUCUGGCUAGUGUGCGGCGAGUACGUGAAUGAUUGAUGGGCCUAGGAGAUGGAGCACUGCUGAAAGAGGAAGGUUAUUCAGUGGUGGCUGUGGCAUAUGGGGGCCUGUGUCCGGGAGUUGUUGAAAUUGUGACACAUCCAAAAGUGAGCUCUUACCAUUGUAAUCUACAGUGAGAUGUAAUGUACUGUGCUGUACUGUACUGCUGAGGACUGAGAGUAACACUGUAAGUCGUGUCUGGUCGACUGACGGAGUGGAUCUGUCUCCUCGGAAGUUGGAACGACGGUAUUUCGACGAUGAAUGGACUAUAGCCUUGGAACGAACGACCGUCUAUUGGUGCAGAGUUUAGAGAGUUUCGUCGGAGAUGCGUCUUUGAUAAUCUGCCCCAACACUAUACUGAAUGGCUUCAAUAGAAGAGAAGGUGAAGUGUGUCCUUUGGUUAACUGAGUCAAAGUCUGUAACAGCGGUUAGAAGAAAAUUUACGACUCAUUACAAGAAGGAAGCGCCGCACAGAAAUUCAAUUACAAGAUGGAUGAAGUUUAAGGGACUGGUUCUGUUAAUGACAAGCCACAAACUGGAAGACUGGGAAUAAACCAGGAAACUGUGGAGUCUGUAGAGCAAACUUUUCUGAAUAGUCCAUGUUAAAACAGUAGUUUACUCAUUAAAAGCUCAUUUUUUUAAUGAUCUUCGUGCUAGAAAAUCUGAUGUGAUCAGUACCAUAACUGAAACACAACUGCAGAACGUUUUUGUGGAUAUUCAAACUCGUACUAUGCUUUGUAUCCGUAAUGAUGGUGGAAAAGUUCAAACCUAGCAAUCCUACGAUUAAAGGUGAUAAAACUUAAAUAAAAUAUCUCCAAUA